ACUGGGGAGGGGGAGGGAUGUGGAGAGAGGGAAGCAAGGGCUAUUGGGAUUUAGAGACGUCUAUGCUCAUACUGCUGGGGUGUAAGCUGCCCAAGCGUAAUAUGAGGUGCUGUUCGAGAUGCAGAUGUGAUG